rnacentral:rRNA from 1 species
GACGAACGCUGGCGGCGUGCUUAACACAUGCAAGUCGAACGGAAAGGCCCUGCUUUUGUGGGGUGCUCGAGUGGCGAACGGGUGAGUAACACGUGAGUAACCUGCCCUUGACUUUGGGAUAACUUCAGGAAACUGGGGCUAAUACCGGAUAGGAGCUCCUGCUGCAUGGUGGGGGUUGGAAAGUUUCGGCGGUUGGGGAUGGACUCGCGGCUUAUCCGCUUGUUGGUGGGGUAGUGGCUUACCAAGGCUGUGACGGGUAGCCGGCCUGAGAGGGUGACCGGCCACAUUGGGACUGAGAUACGGCCCAGACUCCUACGGGAGGCAGCAGUGGGGAAUAUUGCACAAUGGGCGGAAGCCUGAUGCAGCAACGCCGCGUGCGGGAUGACGGCCUUCGGGUUGUAAACCGCUUUCGCCUGUGACGAAGCGUGAGUGACGGUAAUGGGUAAAGAAGCACCGGCUAACUACGUG